AAUAGGUGAAUAAACAAAAUCCAGCCAGCAUAAAUACAGUCUAACUGUUGAAGAACAGAUUUCUGAGUCUACCAUAACUUUCAUACACUGCAGCACUUUAACGUUGAACCUGCCACCUUCAGAUUCACACUGCAGCACCUCAGGUAAGAAGGAAAGGAAGUGAAUAUGCACUGAGGACCUACUUGUGUUAUGAGCUUUACAGUUCAGCUGCGCUGGAGAAGAGUUUAUUUCUUUCAUGGAAUCCAUUACAUCACCGAUCCCCUUCUGAAGGAGGUUAUUUUAUCCACGAGAGGAAGCAUCCAAAGGUGUUCAUAUUCUCUACCCUGUGACUCCAGCAGAAUGGUGACAAGGUUUUGAAGCAAAGGAGGGCACUUGACUCUAGGGCAGCCGUCCAUUAACUGACUAGCCCGGUGCCUGUGGAACAGAGUUGCGUGAGGAUUUUACCCUUUUGGAAUAAUCCAGUGACAAAACUGGAUACUAUUACUUUCAUUCCUUCCCCCGAUGCCAGGAGGUAUAGCUGUUUUGCCUUUGUUCUUGACAUUCAGCACUUAGCCUAAUGCUCGCUAUAAAAGUGCCUUCAAGAAAUCUUUAAGGGGCCAUUUUGAUGGGUCUUCCUAUGUUGCCCAGGCUAGUGUGCAGUGGCUAUUCACAGGUGCAAUCACAGAGCAUACCUCGAAUUACUGGUCUCAACUGAUCCUUGAACACUCGGUCUCAGGUGCCUCAAACUCCUGGGCUUGAACUCCUGAUCUCGAAUAAUCCUGCUGCCUCAGCCUCCAGAGUAGCUGGGUCUACAGAUUUGAUAAAUGGUUGGUCCUUAUGAUCCACUGAUGCAGACUACUUGGGAGGUCCCAAUGUCCUGGUGCCCAAAGGUCUCUAUGCUUCUUCCGAGAGAGAGAUUUUGGAACAAUGGGAAGAGUCUGAAUUGAGUCUUUCUGUCCUCGAUCAUGACCUGAGCAGUCUGUUCACAUCAAGAGCACACAGUCUGUCCUCUUGGGGUGCAUUGCGCACCGUGUGAAGGCUGCCUAACUGUGUGAGAGCUUGUUCUCCAGAUGGGUUAACUGAACCCUCUCAAUCUCACAGACUGUGCACAUGUCCCUAAUUAGUAGCAAGGCUUCCUUCUCCGUUCUCCACCCUUGGAGAACCCUGGAACUGCCCCUACCCCACUCUAACUCCUCUUGUCUACAGCAAUGGCUUUAAUCUCCUGAGGUCACCCAUCACUACCUCCCUUUAAUGUACAUUCCAGUCACAAAUAUGGGAUAGGGCGAGGUGUGUGGCUCUCAUGCAAAAAGCCCACAGGUACAAACAAGGACAGACCUGCAGAAGUCUUUCUUCUGACACCUACAUUCUCUCAGUCGUGUACCAUAUUAGGACCUUGCCAACAGUUCUCUGUCACCUGGUGAAUGCCUACUCAUAUUUCAAGCCUGAAUUUAAGUAUCAACUACUCCAGAGCCUACCUUGGAAAAAUUCCUAUUCUUUCUUUUAUGUUCCUUGCACAUUUAAAACUUGUUAUUUAUAGUUUGGUUCCCCACAUAGAACUGUAAGUCCCUUGAGGACAGGGACCACGUCUUAUUUAUCUUUGUAUACUGACAGUGCGUUGCAGGUGCUUAAUAAAUAAUUGUC
rnacentral:lncRNA from 10 species